AUUGAACGCUAGCGGCAUGCUUUACACAUGCAAGUCGAACGAGUGGCGGACGGGUGAGUAAUACAUCGGAACGUGCCCAGUGGCGGGGGAUAACUACUCGAAAGAGUGGCUAAUACCGCAUACCAUCGGAUGGGCCCAUAUCGGAUUAGCUUGUUGGUGGGGUAAAGGCUCACCAAGGCAACGAUCCCUAGCUGGUUUGAGAGGAUGACCAGCCACACUGGGACUGAGACACGGCCCAGACUCCUACGGGAGGCAGCAGUGGGGAAUAUUGGACAAUGGGGGAAACCCUGAUCCAGCCAUGCCGCGUGUAUGAGAAGGCCUUCGGGUUGUAAAGUACUUUUAGCAGGGAAGCGUUAUCUGCAGAAGAAGCACCGGCUAACUACGUGCCAGCAGCCGCGGUAAUUC
rnacentral:rRNA from 1 species